UACGGAGGGUGCAAGCGUUAUCCGGAUUCACUGGGUUUAAAGGGUGCGUAGGCGGGCAGGUAAGUCAGUGGUGAAAUCUCCGAGCUUAACUCGGAAACUGCCGUUGAUACUAUUUGUCUUGAAUACUGUGGAGGUAAGCGGAAUAUGUCAUGUAGCGGUGAAAUGCUUAGAUAUCGUCAAGAACACCUAUAGCGAAGGCAGCUUACUAGGCUGUAACUGACGCUGAGGCACGAAAGUGUGGGGAUCAAACAGG
rnacentral:rRNA from 1 species